rnacentral:rRNA from 1 species
GAGUGGCGGACGGGUGAGUAACACGUGGGUAACCUACCCAUCAGAGGGGGAUAACACUUGGAAACAGGUGCUAAUACCGCAUAACAGUUUAUGCCGCAUGGCAUAAGAGUGAAAGGCGCUUUCGGGUGUCGCUGAUGGAUGGACCCGCGGUGCAUUAGCUAGUUGGUGAGGUAACGGCUCACCAAGGCCACGAUGCAUAGCCGACCUGAGAGGGUGAUCGGCCACACUGGGACUGAGACACGGCCCAGACUCCUACGGGAGGCAGCAGUAGGGAAUCUUCGGCAAUGGACGAAAGUCUGACCGAGCAACGCCGCGUGAGUGAAGAAGGUUUUCGGAUCGUAAAACUCUGUUGUUAGAGAAGAACAAGGACGUUAGUAACUGAACGUCCCCUGACGGUAUCUAACCAGAAAGCCACGGCUAACUACGUGCCAGCAGCCGCGGUAAUACGUAGGUGGCAAGCGUUGUCCGGAUUUAUUGGGCGUAAAGCGAGCGCAGGCGGUUUCUUAAGUCUGAUGUGAAAGCCCCCGGCUCAACCGGGGAGGGUCAUUGGAAACU